UACGAAGGGGGCUAGCGUUGUUCGGAAUCACUGGGCGUAAAGGGCGCGUAGGCGGCCGAUCAAGUCGGGGGUGAAAGCCUGUGGCUCAACCACAGAAUGGCCUUCGAUACUGUUUGGCUUGAGACCGGAAGAGGUCAGUGGAACUGCGAGUGUAGAGGUGAAAUUCGUAGAUAUUCGCAAGAACACCAGUGGCGAAGGCGGCUCACUGGCCCGAUACUGACGCUGAGGCACGAAAGCGUGGGGAGCAAACAGG
rnacentral:rRNA from 1 species